GAUGAAGAACGUAGCGAAAUGCGAUAAGUAAUGUGAAUUGUAGAAUUCAGUGAAUCAUCGAAUCUUUGAACGCACAUUGCGCCCGGCAGUACUCUGCCGGGCAUGCCUGUUCGAGCGUCAUUUCAACCCUCAAGCCCUGCUUGGUGUUGGGGUCCCACGGCCGCCGUGGGCCCUGAAAGGAAGUGGCGGGCUCGCUACAACUCCGAGCGUAGUAAUUCAUUAUCUCGCUUAGGGCGUUGGGCGGCGCUCCUGCCGUUAAAGAACCAUCUUUAACUCAAGGUUGACCUCGGAUCAGGUAGGAAUACCCGCUGAACUUAAGCAUAUCAAUAAGCGGAGGA
rnacentral:misc_RNA from 1 species